GGAAGGGUUGUAGCUCAGCGGUAGAGCAUCUGCUUUGCAUACAGGUGGUCUUGGGUUCAAUCCCGGGCAUUUCCA